rnacentral:rRNA from 1 species
GGGCCCGCACAAGCGGUGGAGCAUGUGGUUUAAUUCGAUGAUACGCGAGGAACCUUACCAGGGCUUAAAUGCAGAAUGACAGAUUGGGAAACCAGUCCUUCUUCGGACAUUUUGCAAGGUGCUGCAUGGUUGUCGUCAGCUCGUGCCGUGAGGUGUCAGGUUAAGUCCUAUAACGAGCGCAACCCCUAUUCUUAGUUGCCAGCGGGUAAUGCCGGGAACUCUAAGGAGACUGCCAGCGCAAGCUGCGAGGAAGGUGGGGAUGACGUCAAAUCAUCACGGCCCUUACGUCCUGGGCUACACACGUGCUACAAUGGAUGGUACAAUGGGCAGCCACUACGCGAGUAGGAGCUAAUCCUCAAAACCAUUCUCAGUUCGGAUCGGAGUCUGCAACUCGACUCCGUGAAGCUGGAAUC